CGUCUCCCCAGUCAGUUCUAAGUGUUUACACCCGUCUUGUCUUUCCAUCUGUAUUUGUCAGGUUGCCCUGUUUGCCCUCCUGUUGGUUUCCCUUCUGUUCUCUGGCCUGAUUGAGUUUAGUUUUCUUUUGGAUUACCUUCUUUAUUUUUUGAUUUAUUCUUCCCUGGGUUACCAGCUGCCUUUUGUUCAUUCAUCUGUACCACCCCAACACUGAUCUUGGGUGCCCAGUUUGACUCAGUGGUGAUUGGGACUGUCUUCUGUGCUGUCAGGUGGAAGAUCUGUAUGAAGCUUCCCAGUUUUAGGAUUUGUCAGCGGAGGAACAUCCAUAUUUGAAGCAUCGUUCUCUGUAAUGGCUUUAAAUUUGUGUUCUACUCAUAUCACAAUCACCUUUAUUGGCCCAGCACGGGAACAUUUUCUCAUUUUCUUUCUUUCUCUUAACAAACUUACACACUUCAAAGUCUCCACUGCAUGUAUUAUAAAUCUGGACAGACAUGGAUAUAAACUGCAACUUGGGUGUUUGGUGGAAGCAUAAAACUGCAAGAUGGUAAUUCUAGUUUGUAUCACACAGUAGGUCCAACAUUUUUUUUUUUUUUGCCAGAUGGCAGAAAUUUGAUGAUGCACUGAUUGCUUUUGAGAGGGAGGAUGUAAAGCUCUGCUCUGAAAACAUGCAUCUGUGUGAUAUCACAAAAUCCUCUGCCUCAGAUACAAUCUGAGUGCACAUCUGGUCAUAAUCACAUUUUAAACAUUGGUUAUGCAACAAUCUGUCUUUAAAGUCUGUGUCCUCCUGGCAGGACCUUUGAAACGAGCUGCCACGGAGAUAAAGAGAUUUGCAGGCAACAAGCAGGUAUGCAAACUGUUUAAUAGUGAUAAAAAACACCCAAACGGCUGCAGCAGCAUAUCAGAGCCGAAAAAGCAUUAGUGAGGAUUUUGUGAGAAUUUAAUUCCAUCAAGGGACACAUUUCUCAAUUACUCCCCUGUUAAACCUUCACAUACUGUAGUGUGUAUUUGUACAUAUGUAUGAUAUGUAAUUUAUGUUAUUUUGAUUUUUUGGAUGCCUUUAAAAGUAUGUUGUUUUCUGGUGCACAUUUCUCCUAAACCGCUGCAUAAUGUCUGUGUGUGAUGUUUUCAGCAAUGAUAAACUAUUGAUUAUUCCAUCCACAAAGCAUUUCUGAAGUAAAAGGACUCUGCUGUGGGCUAAUGAGUUUGCGUAUGAAGAGGAGUAGCAGCAGCUGUGGUAGCAACGGUUAGUUAAAUCUGCUGGUUUGUACAUAUCAGGAUAAACUGCUUGAGAUGCCUGAGGUGCAGUGCAGCAGCAGUACGGUUGAGCAAAAGAGCAGCAACAACACAGGGAGCUUAAAUAGAUCAUCAUAGUACAAAAGCUGCUCUUAAUAUGUCACAUGUUAUAGCUAGUGGACUAUGAUAAAGGAGUGUAGCAGCUGCAGGAGCAGUCUCAGUGGGAGCAUUGACUAAAGGGACUUUGUAUUUCACGUUGCAAAAGGGAAAUCCAAACUAAUAUUUAGGAAAUUACAUGUUAUAUCAAAA
ensembl:lncRNA